GCCUUCUCCGAUAAAUACGCAUGCGCGCAGUAUACAAAAUGUCGGGAGGAUCGGAAAGGUUAAAAAUGAGAAGGAAUUUAUCUCCAGGAAGCUCAAACAUGGCACACCAGUUUUGUUGUCUCUGUCCAGAUAUUUAAGAAGUGGGGUGAGGGAUUCAAUCGACCAUCCUUCCUGCUCAGACUGUGGGGAGGGAUUCACUCGAUCAUCCUUCCUGCUCAGACUGUGGGGAGGGAUUCACUCCGUCAUCUGACCAACUGGCACGCCCGUCAUUUUACACAGGAGAGAGGCCGUUCACCUGCUCAGACAGUGGGAAUGUAUUCACUCGGUCAUCACAAUUGAAGGUACAUCAGCACAUUCACACUGGGCAAGGCCAUUCACCUGUACUGUGUGUGAGAAAGGAUUCAGUCAGUCUUCCCACCUGUGGACACACCAGUCAGAUCACUCUGGGCAAAGGCUGGUGAUCUGCUGAAUAUCUGGGAAAGGAUUCACUCAGUCAUCUGACCUAAUGGCACACCAGCGUGUUCACACUGGGCUGAGGCCGUUCACCUGCUCACAAUGUGGGAAGGGAUUCACUCAGUCAUCCCACCUGCACAGUCACAAACGAGUUCACACUGGGGAGAAGCCAUUCACCUGCUCAGUCUGUGGGAAGGGAUUCACUCAGUCAUCCACACUACAGAGUCAUCAGCGAGUUCACACUGGAGAGAGGCCAUUCACCUGCUCAGAGUGUGGGAAGGGAUUCACUCGGUCAUCCCAACUACUGGCACACCAGCAAGUUCACACUGGGGAGUGGCCUUUCACCUGCUCAGAAUGUGGGAAAGGAUUCACUAAGUCAUCCAGCUUACUGGUACAUCAGCGAGUUCACACAGGGGAGAAGCCAUUCAGCUGCUCAGUGUGUGGGAAGAGAUUCAUUCAGUCAUCUUACCUGCAGAGUCAUCAGCGAGUUCACACAGGGGAGAAGCCGUUCAGCUGCUCAGUGUGUGGGAAGAGAUUCACUCAGUCAUCCCACCUACAGAGUCACCAGCGAGUUCACACCGGGGAGAGGCCGUUCACCUGCUCAGACUGUGGUAAGAGAUUCACUCAGUCUUCCACCCUACAGAGUCAUCAACGAGUUCACACUGGGGAGAGGCCGUUCACUUGCUCAGAAUGUGGGAAGAGAGUCACUGAUUCAUCUGCCCUACAGAAGCAUCAGCGAGUUCAUACUGGGGAGAAGCCGUUCACCUGCUCAGAAUGUGGGAAGAGAUUCACUGAUUCAUCCACCCUACAGAAGCAUCAGCGAGUUCAUACUGGGGAGAAGCCGUUCACCUGCUCAGAAUGUGGGAAGAGAUUCACUCAAUUAUCCAAUCUACAGAGACAUCAUCGAGUUCACACUGGGGAGAAGCCGUUCACCUGCUCAGUCUGUGGGAAGAGAUUCACUGAUCCAUCCACACUACUGAGUCAUCAGCGAGUUCACACUGGGGAGAAGCCAUUCACCUGCUCAGAAUGUGGGAAGGGAUUCACUCGGUCAUCCUACCUACAGAGUCAUCAACAAGUUCACACUGGAGAGAAGCCGUUCACCUGCACAGAAUGUGGGAAGAAAUUCACUUGGUCAUCCACACUACAGAGUCACCAGCGAUUUCACACCGGGGAGAAGUCGUUCAUCUGCUCAGACUGUGGGAAGGGAUUCACUGACUCUUCCACCCUACAGAGACAUCAGCGAGUUCACACUGGGGAGAAGCCAUUCACCUGCUCAGAAUGUGGGAAGGGAUUCACUCAGUCAUCCCACCUACUGGAACACAAGUUAGUUCACACUGGGGAGAAGCCGUUCACCUGCGCAGAAUGUGGGAAGAGAUUCGCUCACUCAUCCAACCUACAUAGUCAUCAGCGAGUUCACACUGGGGAGAAGCCGUUCACCUGCUCAGAAUGUGGGAAGAGAUUCACACACUCUUCCACCCUUCAGAGACAUCAGCGAGUUCACACUGGGGAGAAGCCGUUCACUUGCUCAGAAUGUGGGAAGGCAUUCACUCAGUCAUCCCACCUACUGGCGCACCAGUCAGUUCACACUGGGGAGAGGCUGUUCACCUGCUCAGACUGUGGGAAGGGAUUCACUCAGUCAUCCAACCUACAGAGACAUCAGCAAGUUCACACUGGGGAGAAGCCGUUCACCUGCUCAGUCUGUGGGAAGAGAUUCACUCAGUUAUCCCAACUACUGGAACACAAGUCAGUUCAUAGUGGGGAGUGGCCAUUGUUAUGAAUCCCUAGGUUUCGUUUGAUAUGGACUGUCAUUUUAAGAGAGAUUUAGAAGGUGAAUCAGUCUGACUUGCAGCUUGUUUACAUCACUCGCAGCUUGUUUUGUUUUAACCGAGGACACAGACACUCAGAUUCAGAUGGAGACGGAUGAAAAAUGGAAGGAUUGAAACCAGGGAACUAGUGGCCAAAGGUCACUGUUUAGAACUUUCCUGUGCCCACAAGGGUGGGUUAAUUAUCCAUUCACUGUACAUCGAAUGUGUGGUUGUCACCUUGUUUGAUCCAUAGACGUGUAUCUGAUUUGAGGUAUCCUGUGAAGUCCACUUAUGUGUUAACCCUUGCCUGGGUGUGACGUGGUCAUUCAUUUGAAGAUGAUACCCCUCAUGACAAGUCACUUUCGGUGAUAAUUUGUAUGUAGAUUUGUAAAGAUGACUGAUAAAAUCUACAGCAACUGGUCUCUCAUUUUACCACUGUGGAACCUGUAGAACAGACAGACAGACAGACAGACGUACUUUAUUGAUCCUGAGGGAAAUUGAGUUUCAUUUCAGCCGCACCAACCAAGAAUAGUGUAGAAAUAUAGCAAUAUAAAACCAUCAAUAAUUAAAUAAUAAUAAGUUAAUCUUUGCAAGUGGAAAUAAUUCCAGGACCAGCCUAUUGGCUCAGGAUGUCUGGCACUACGAGGGAAGGUUAGAAAAGUUUGAUGGCCACAGGCAGGAAUGACUUCCUGUGACGCUCAGUGUUACAUCUCGGUGGAAUGAGUCUCCGGCUGAAUGUACUCCUGUGCCUAACCAGUAUAUUAUGGAGCGGAUUGGAGUCAUUGUCUAAGAUGGCAUGCAACUUGGACAUCAUUCUCUUUUACGACACCACCGUCAGAGAGUGCAGUUCAACCCCCGCAACAUCACUGGCAUUACGAAUGAGUUUGUUGAUUCUGUUGGUGUCUGCUACCCUCAACCUUCUUCCCCAGCACACAACAGCAAACAUGAUAACACUGGUCACCACAGCCUCGUAGAACAUACUCACCAUCGUCUGGUAGAUGUCAAAGGACCUCAGUCACCUCAGGAAAUAGAGUCGGCUCUGACCCUUCUUGUAAACAGCCUGUGUGUUCUUUGAGCAGUCCUGUUUAUUGUCAAUUCGUAUCCCCAGGUAUUUGUAAUCUUCCACCAUGUCCACACUGACCCCUUGGGUGGAAACAGGGGUCACCAGUGCCUUAACCCUCCUCAGGUCCACCACCAGCUCCUUAGUCUUUUUCACAGUAAGCUGCAGAUGAUAAACGUGGGCUAUAAACGUGCAAGAGCAGUGUGUGGUUCAGUGCUUUGCUCAAAAACACUCACACUGCCUCGGCUGAGGCUCGAAAACAUGACCUUCAGAUCACUAGUUCAACACCGUAACCAGCUGGCCACGCACCACACAUUAUGACCUAGUGAAGCAGGCUGUGCUCAAAACUUAUGAGUUGGUUCCAGAAGCAUAAAGGCAAAAGUUUAGAAAUUUGAAGAAACCUGUGAAACAGACUUAUAUGGAAUUUGCUUAUGAGUAAUUUGUGUGUAUUGCCCGCUGGUGCACAUAUAAAAAAUAUAAAUAAUGAUUUUAACAGCUUGAACGAGUUGGUUUUAACUGAAGAAUCCAAAAAGUGUGUCCCUGAUGACAUAAAGAUGUAUUUAGAUGGAAAUGAUGCUGCCACUAUGCAGGAGUCUGCUAGAUUAGCAGAUCAGUUUGCUUUAACUCAUAAGGUUAUGGUUACCCUGAAUAAGAGUUUCGAAAAGAGUAGCAGGGAUAACCAGGGUAAACCAGAAAUUAAUGCUGGGAUUUGUCACAGUUGUCAAGUUUUGGCUAAACCUCAUCAGGUCACCCCAGUGGCCCCACUCCGACCUAUACCUGCAUUCUGUGAACCCUUUUCUAAAGAUAUAGAGAAUUAUGUUGGCCCAUUGCCAAAGCCUAAAGCUGGCCAUCAGUAUCUGCUAACUAUUAUGUGUACUGCGUCCAGAUUCCCAGAGGCAAUGCCUCUCAGAAAUAUUAAAGCUAAAACUGUGGCGAAGGCUCUUACUGAGUUUUUUUUUACUUUAUUCGAUUUGCCUCAAGAAAUCCAGUCUGAUCAAGGAAGUAAUUUUACAUCUGGGUUAUUCCAGCAGGUAGUUUAUGUACUGGGAGCAAAACAAAUUACAUCGUCUACAUACCAUCCAGAAUCACAAGGGGCUUUAGAAAGAUUUCACUAUACCCCCAAAACAAUGAUUAAGACAUACUGUGUUGAAAAUGGAAACAACUAGGAUGAAGGAAUACAUUUGCUUUUGUUCGCAGUAAGAGAGUCGGUUCAGGAAUCAUUGGGCUUUACUCCAUUUGAACUCGUAUUUGGACGCAGAGUGAGGUGACCUUUGACCUUGUAAAAGGAGCGGUGGAUUGGUAGGGAUUUACAUGUUAACUUGUUAGACUAUGUUUUAAAUUUCAAAAAUAAACUACACCAAUUCUGUGGUCUAGCGAGACAAAACUUAAAGAUUUCUCAAAACAAAAUGAAGUGUUGGUUUGAUAAGCAGGGUUGUGAAAGAAAAUACCAGGUGUGAGAUAAGGUGCUUGCCUUAUGUUGACGAAUCCACUUCAGGUGAAAUUCAAUAGACCGUAUGAAAUAGUCUCUCAAUUUAAUGAUGUGAAUUAUGUUAUUACAACACACAACCUACGUAAACUAACACACCUGGCACACAUAAAUAUGAUAAAGCCUUGUUUUGACAAUCAGGCACCAUCUGUGUGUGUUGUUGUCAAAACAUAUGAAUCUGGCAACCCUGAGCUUGAAACAAUUGACUCGUCUGAGACUUUUUACAAGCCAAACGUGGUCCCAGUUCGGCUAAUGAACUCCGUUGUUCCAGAAAACAUUGAUAACAAGUCGGCUCAUCUGCAGCCAAAGCAACAACAACAGCUGAAGGAAUUAAUUCUGAAGUUUAAAGAUUUCUUUCCCGAUGUUCGCAAGCAAACCACGGUCUCAUUACAUGAUGCAGAUAUUGGUCAAGCCAAACCGAUUAAACAACACCCAUAUCGCAUGAACGUAGAGAAUGUAAAUUGGCUGAGCAAUUGUUGUAAGCGUGGAAACAGAUUCAGUAGGUCUCAGGGGCACAGAUUAUGGGAAGGUAAAUGAAGUAACAAAAACAGAUGCCUAUCCUGUCGCUAGGAUAGAUGAUUGCAUCGAUAAAGUUGGAAUAGCUAAUUUCUUACAAAGAUUGAUCUGUUGACAGGGUAUUGGUGUGUUCUAUUGACGGACAGACAUAGAGAAAUUUCUGCCUUUGCGACACCAUCUCGGUUGUAUGAAUACAAUGUUUUGCCUUUUGGAAAGAAAAAUGCUCCAGGAACAUCCCAGAGAAUGAUUAAUUUUGAAAUUCGAGGGUUAGAACACACAGAUGCCUAUAUUGAUGACUUAGUCACAGGGAGUGACACUUGGGAAGAGCAUAUCUCUGAUUGGUAAGAAGGCUCAGAAGGUUUCUGGGAAUGGAUGGAUAUUAUCGUAAGUUCUGUAAGAACUUUGCUGCUCUCGCUCUUCCUCUGACUAAUCUCCUGAAGAUGGGUGAAAAGUUUGUUUGGACUGAACCUUGUCAGGAGGCAUUUGAUCGAUUGAAAGAUAUUAUUUGAGAUUAGGCCGAUCAAUGUAGUAUUCUCAGCAAAUUUAAUUAGCAGAUUGGAGCUGUGGGUGGCAACACAAGUCAUGGGUGCACAGAGAGUAAAGGAGAGGGCCAAAGUGACAACCCUGUGGGGUAUGUGUGCUGAGGGUCAGAGAGACAGAGGAGAUGGAGCCCACUCUUACCACCUGCUGGUGAUCUGACAGGAAGUCCGGGAUCCAGCUACACAAGGCAGGGUGAAGGCCGAGGUCUCUGAGCUCCUUGUCGAUACUUCAUGCCUUUGUAUGGCUUCUGCUCUGCCCAUGACUGCAAGAAACUGCAGAGAACUUUGGAGAGCAGAGAACAUCAGAGAAACAAGCCUCCACUCCAUGGACUCUCCCUACACUUCCCCUCCCUCGGAAAAGCAGGCCAUGUACACAAAGAACCUCAUAACCCGGACAUUCUUGCUGCAAACCCGCUCCCACAUUGGCUGAGAGAUACAAAAGCCUUAAAGUGCGUAACACCAGGCUGAAGAACGGCUUCCUGUCUGCAGUUAUAAGCCAAAUGAAUGAUAAAAUGGACUCGGCCUCACAAUGUAACUCGACGUGACCCUGCACCAUAUGUCUAUCUGCACCGCACUUUCUCUGCAGCCAUAAUACUUUUUUACAGUUAUUUUUUUGUUGUCUAUGAGCUCAAUGUACUGUUGUAAUGUAUCGAUCUGUGUGGAUGUUACAUCAGGCAAGAUUUUCACUGUAGCUCAGUACGUGAUGAUAAUAAACAAAUACACCACUUUAAUUGUGUGGAAAUAUUAGACAGACUGAGCUUCUGCUCCGGAACCACAGAAGGAAACUGACCAGUUGUCAUUUCUGUGGAAAGCAAAUAUAUGGAAAAUGCUUCAAUCUCACAUUACGAUCUGCGGUAACUGGGAUCAGGUGACUGGCGGUGGGUCUCCCAUAUCAAUAUCAGAAUCAAGUUUAAUAGCACCAGCAUAUGCCAUGAAAUUCGUUGUCUCUGCGGUAGCAGUAGAACCUAAUUAACAAAGGAUCUUAACAAUUGUGACUUAAAUUAGACCUGUGGUGAGAGAUUUAUUGGAAGAAAAACACCAACUGGAGGCAAACCACGACUGAAGACGAGGGAACAGCAACAAGUGUACCAGCCCGAGGACUGAGAGCACCGACUGGAGAGAAACCAAUCUGACUCGGAGAUUCCAGUGAUUCAGUCAGGAGAACGUUUGGUUAAAAUCGACCAGGAAUUUGUCUAUGGGAAUUCAAACUCAACACACCAGUUGUGCUGUUUCUGUCUAGAUAUUUAAGGAGCAAGAGAUUCAAUCAGCCAUCCUUCCUGCUCAGACUUUGCGGAGGGAUUCACUCGGUCAUCUGAUCAAUUGACACGUCCAUCAUUUUACACGGGAGAGACCAUUCACCUGCUCAGACUGUGGGAAUGGAUUCACUCGGUAAUCUCAACUGAAGCUACACACUGGGGAAGUCCAUUCAUCUAUUCUGUGAGUGGGAAGGGGUUCAGUCGGUCUUCCCACCUGUGGACACACCAGUCAGUUCACACGGGGCAGAGGCUGGUCAUCUGCUGAAUUUGUGGGGAAGGAUUCACUCGGUCAUC